CCCUUAGAUGUUCUGGGCCGCACGCGUGCUACACUGAACGGUUCAAUGGGUAAGGUAGUGCGAAAGCAUGACCUAAUCUCGAAAUCCGUUCGUGCUGGGGAUAGGAGCUUGCAAUUAUCCUUCUUGAACGAGGAAUACCUUGUAAGCGUGAGUCAUCAUCUCACGCUGAAUACGUCCCUGCCCUUUGUACACACCGCCCGUCGCUCCUACCGAUUGAGUGUUCCGGUGAGGCUUUGGGAGAAUGGCCUCAACAUGAGUUUAUCGUGUUUUGCCGUUUGAACUUAGUCAAACCUUAUCACUUAGAGGAAGGAGAAGUCGUAACA
rnacentral:rRNA from 1 species